UGGUCAACAGAGGGAAGCAAGACCGCGAGGUGGAGCAAAUCCCUAAAAGCCAUCCCAGUUCGGAUUGCAGGCUGCAACCCGCCUGUAUGAAGUUGGAAUCGCUAGUAAUCGCGGAUCAGCAUGCCGCGGUGAAUACGUUCCCGGGCCUUGUACACACCGCCCGUCACACCAUGAGAGUCGGGAACACCCGAAGUCCGUAGCCUAACCGCAAGGGGGGCGCGGCCGAAGGUGGGUUCGAUAAUUGGGGUGAAGUCGUAACAAGGUAGC
rnacentral:rRNA from 1 species